CACAAUGGGCUCCCGAUCAUGAUAUGGGCUUUUGGAGGAGAUCCACUGAUACAUCUGUGCAACUCCCAUUGAAAUCAAUGAAAACUUAUAUUUCAGGAAGGGAUUAAACAGCACAAGUGCUGCUGGCAUAAUUAUACAAGCAGGCAGAAGCCAUGUAAAGACUGGGAAGAAAAUGUGUCUAAAAAGUUCCUGCAGCCCCAUGGGAACAAAAGAUAUCAAUCUAACCUUCAAGCAAAAGGGAUCGAAUGCCACCUAUGGUACAGCCAAGUGUGCAGCCAACCAACCACAUGCUCAGCUGGCUUUGAUGGGUCUGUAUGGAGUGUAUGUCCAUGCCAGAUUUGACCUGAAGCAUUUAGAAGAGGAACUAAGCGGCUAUAAUACCACUGAAGAAAAGGGGAAUUGCAGGGACCUCGAUGGAAAGUAGCUGCCUGAAACACAAGCCAAACUUCAUGGAGAUGAUCCUUGU